AGCAGCCGCGGUAAUUCCAGCUCCAAUAGCGUAUAUUAAAGUUGCUGCAGUUAAAAAGCUCGUAGUUGAAUUUCGGGACCAUCGUGUCGGUCGUGCCUCGGUACGUACUGGCAUUGUUGGUUUCUUCCUUCUGACGAACCAUGAUGUCAUUUAUUUGGUGUUGUGGGGAAUCAGGACUGUUACUUUGAAAAAAUUAGAGUGUUUAAAGCAGGCUCACGCUUGAAUACAUUAGCAUGGAAUAAUGAAAUAGGACGUUUGAUUCUAUUUUGUUGGUUUCUAGGAUUGACGUAAUGAUUAAUAGGGAUAGUUGGGGGCAUUAGUAUUCAAUUGUCAGAGGUGAAAUUCUUGGAUUUAUUGAAGACUAACUACUGCGAAAGCAUUUGCCAAGGAUGUUUUCAUUAAUCAAGAACGAAAGUUAGGGGAUCGAAGACGAUCAGAUACCGUCGUAGUCUUAACCAUAAACUAUGCCGACUAGGGAUCGGAUGAUGUUAAUUUUUUAAUGACUCAUUCGGCGCCUUACG
rnacentral:rRNA from 1 species